CGUAUGGUGUUCGCGGAGAGCGCGGAUGGCGAUACGGCCUGAAACUGAGGU
rfam:Idiomarinaceae bacterium HL-53 ITZY_scaf_4, whole genome shotgun sequence.